rnacentral:tRNA from 1 species
UCCCUGGGGGACUAGUGGUUAGACCUCGGUGCUCUCACCACCGUGGUCCGGUUUCGAUUCCCAGCCAGGGAA